rnacentral:misc_RNA from 1 species
GGGAAAAUCUUCACAAUUAAUUAUCAGACGAUGAUUAUUGGCUAUUGGCUAAUACAUAUUUCUCCACAUGCACGUAAAUAUCCUUAAUGAGUUCUUGUUAAUACCCAUUUUUGUAGGGGAUCUUGUUCUUCAAGCGUCUUUUAUUUUGGCCUAUGCUUUUGUUGAUGCGUCCAACUAUUAGCGACACUUAAAUGAAAAUCCCAUGGGCAAGCAGUGAAAUUAAUGUAAGUAUA